rnacentral:lncRNA from 1 species
UUUUUUUUUCUUUUGAUCUCAUCACAAAUAAAGUGAAGCUUAAAAAUAAGAACAAAAAUUGGGAAUAAAAAUAUUUUGGAACAUGCUAAAAUAUACAGUUUCUGCUCUAUUAAGAAACAAGCAGACAAUCAAUACUCUCUGGAUAAUCCUUAACCCCAAAGGGGAGAGACAAGUGAAAAAGACAUUUUAUAAAUUAGGUGAAAAUAUCUCAUUGAAAUAAUAGCAGAGUUCCCGUCAUGAUGCCCGGGAAAUGAAUCCGACUAGGAACCAUGAGGUUGCAGGUUCGAUCCCUGCUCUCACUCUGUGGGUUAAGGAUCCAGCAUUGCCGUGAGCUGUGGUGUAGGUCGAAGACAUGGCUCUCGGAUCUGGCGUUGCUGGGGCUCUGGCUGCAGCUCCGGUUGGACCCUUAGCCUGGGAACCUCCAUAUGCCGUGGGUGCAGCAACUAAAAAGACAAAACACACACACACACACAAAAGCAACAAUAGCAACUUAUAUCUAAGAGAUUAAAACUUGAGAUUUAAAGUAGAAAAUGUUUGAAAAAUGUUGUGAUUCUGAGUAAGCCUUAUAAUAUUUCUAUAUCACUCUUGGCUGCAUUAACAUUAACUAAUUAACGCUCCUUCUACACCAACAAACCACUGAGAACUUAAAUGCGUGAUAAUGAGGAGGGGAUUCUUUCAUGUUGAUACUUUGCUCUGAAUACUCCAACUACAUGCAAAGUUACAGCUACAGCUUUUUCAGCUCUGUAAGUGCAAGUUCAACCACAUAAUCACAAAUAACAUAGACGGCCAAGGUAUCAGUCCACUACUAAUUUAGCCAUGUUUUCCUAACCAGAAUAUGCAUUUGUUUUUGGUGACAGUAGUAAUAAAAUUAUUUUUUAAUUUAUUCAUUUGUUUUUCAUUUGGUUAUUUAAUCAUAUUGGUGCUCUAGUUUGUUCCAUAAAGAGAUUGAGAAAGCCUAGAGUAAAAUUACAUGAGGUGCAUUAAAGUUAUCUAGGACAGGAGUUCCCGUCAUGGCGCAGUGGUUAACGAAUCCGACUAGGAACCAUGAGGUUGCAGGUUCGAUCCCUGGCCUUGCUCAGUGGGUUAAGGAUCCGGCGUUGCCAUGAGCAGUGGUGUAGGUUGUAGAUGCAGCUUGGAUCCUGCGUUGCUGUGGCUCUGGCGUAGGCUGGCACCUGUAGCUCUGAUUCGACCCCUAGCCUGGGAACCUCCAUAUGCCGUGGGAACGGCCCUGGAAAAGGCAAAAAAUAAAAAAAAAUUAAAAAAAUAAAGUCAUUACUACUUCCCACAACCAAUCUAAUAUGUCUGUACCUUAAACUCAUGAUAAAAGCACAUAUUAAAGCAGAUAUGAUCACUGUAUGGGUAAAUAUAUUGCUAAUAAAAAUCCCUUCCAAUAUACAAGGCAUUCCAGUGCAGU